rnacentral:rRNA from 1 species
AUCACUCACGCGGCAUUGCUGGAUCAGGCUUGCGCCCAUUGUCCAAUAUUCCCUACUGCUGCCUCCCGUAGGAGUCUGGGCCGUGUCUCAGUCCCAGUGUGGCUGAUCAUCCUCUCAGACCAGCUAAGGAUCGUCGCCUUGGUGAGCCUUUACCUCACCAACUAGCUAAUCCUACGCGGGCUCAUCCCUGGGCGAUAAAUCUUUGGACUUUCGUCAUCAUCCGGUAUUAGCAGUCGUUUCCAACUGUUAUUCCGAACCCAAGGGCAGAUUCCCCC